rnacentral:lncRNA from 1 species
UAAUUUCUUUUUGUGCAAAUAACGUCUUCUGUGGACUUUACAGUUCCUAAUACUGUGCAAAAAAAUGCCACUUUGAAUCACGGCUUUUUUGUUUUGAUUUUUUGUUUAUACCACAUGUGCAGUAAUCUGAAUUGUUUCCUUUUUUCUUUUUCCUUUUUCUGUCCUGUCUUCAAUGGACAGAGUCACAUGUCACAAAGGCUCAGCGCCUGGUCCUUCCAACUAAUAUUGAUACAUAAAUAAGCUGUUUAAUAUAAACAAGUCUUUCUAUCUGGCUGUGCAAUGUGCACAGUGUGAGUGAGGUAGGAACCCCUCAGCCUGACCACCGAGGAGGCGUUCAGGGACAGCCCGCUUGCCCUCCGAAAGGGAAUCAAGGUGAGGCUUGUUCCAAGAAGAGCAUAAAACUUCCUGAAACGCGAUUUUUGCAUCCAUCCUUGCCCUCGGCUUUCGGAACAGGAGAAAUCAGUCCUCAGAAAUUAAAAUGCAAUUUCUCUGAAAAGCAAAAGGAAGCAACGUCCUG